AGUGAUAAAUGCUCAUUCUUUAUGGGCGUCAUUUCUGUACGCUUUGAAUGAUGUUAAAUCAGUAGCAGCGUUUACUGGCAAAACGGACAGAUCAAUUGCGGCAGCAAUGUACAGUGGCUGUCAAAUUUUAGUCAGCACACCACGAUAUCUAGUUUGAUUCUUAAAUAACAAUAAAGAUCUAUUGUCAUUUGAUAGACUUUUUUGUUUAGUUCUUAACAAUGUCGAUGUAAUUUUGGAUAAAUAUUACAAUUUGGCACGUAAGUUGUUGGACAUACCGGAAGAAUUAUUAAAUCUUUCAACGCAUAUUGUAGAAGUAGUUUUAGCUGGCAUAGCGCCAUAUGACAAAGAUUAUGCAUGGAAUCACUACACUAACAAAGCGGUUUACAAAUGGUUUGCAGAAAAUUUUGAUGAAAGAUCUUAUAUUAUCAGCAAGAAACAAAACCAUCACGACUGCUUGCAUUGUCAGCGCCACAUGCGAAUAACAUCAGGAUAAUAUGGAGUAUUGAGAAGGAUUGCCAGUUGUCGACCAUAUUUACUGUAUGCAAUCACACAGGAAGCAAAGGAGAAGGCUAUGAUUCUGUGAACAAUUUAUGUUCAACGAACGUAGAUGAGGAGAAUGUAAACAAGCUCAGUUUCACACGAGAACAGGAAUGCAUUCUCAAAUCUACCUAACAGUUUUCAAGACAA